rnacentral:rRNA from 1 species
GUGAGGAAUAUUGGUCAAUGGGCGGGAGCCUGAACCAGCCAAGUCGCGUGAAGGAAGAAGGAUCUAUGGUUCGUAAACUUCUUUUGCAGGGGAAUAAAGUGCAGGACGUGUCCUGUUUUGUAUGUACCCUGAGAAUAAGGAUCGGCUAACUCCGUGCCAGCAGCCGCGGUAAUACGGAGGAUCCGAGCGUUAUCCGGAUUUAUUGGGUUUAAAGGGUGCGUAGGUGGUUUGAUAAGUCAGCGGUGAAAGUUUGCAGCUUAACUGUAAAAAUGCCGUUGAAACUGUCGGACUUGAGUGUAAAUGAGGUAGGCGGAAUGCGCGGUGUAGCGGUGAAAUGCAUAGAUAUCACGCAGAACUCCGAUUGCGAAGGCAGCUUACUAAGCUACAACUGACACUGAAGCACGAAAGCGUGGGGAUCAAACAGGAUUAGAAACCCGGGUAGUCC